UACGAAGGGGGCUAGUGUUGUUCGGAAUCACUGGGCGUAAAGCGCACGUAGGCGGAUUUUUAAGUCAGGGGUGAAAUCCCGGGGCUCAACCUCGGAACUGCCUUUGAUACUGGAGAUCUUGAGUCCGGAAGAGGUAAGUGGAACUGCGAGUGUAGAGGUGAAAUUCGUAGAUAUUCGGAAGAACACCAGUGGCGAAGGCGGCUCACUGGCCCGGUACUGACGCUGAGGUGCGAAAGCGUGGGGAGCAAACAGGG
rnacentral:rRNA from 1 species